rnacentral:rRNA from 1 species
UCCCUCAGUAGCGGCGAGCGAAGAGGGAAGAGUCCAGCGCUGAAUCCCGCGUCUGSUGUGGCGCCGGGAAAUGUAGCGUUUGGGAGUGAGCGUGCCGGAGGUUGGCUCUGCAGCAAGUCCCCCUGACCGGGGCUACUUUGCCCGUAGCGGGUGCGAGGCCCAUAGUUGCUAGGCCUCUUCCGGAAUGCAAUCUCCUCGGAGUCGGGUUGCUUGGGAGUGCAGCCCUAAGAGGGAGGUAAACUCCUCCUAAGACUAAAUACUGCCGUGAGACCGAUAGCAAACAAGUACCGUGAGGGAAAGUUGCAAAGAACUUUGAAGAGAGAGUUCAAAAGUACGUGAAACUGCUCAGAGGUAAACGGGUGGGCCCUCGAAGUCCUGUGGCGGGAUCAUUCAGUCGAGAGGGCGCCGCGAAGCGGGCACGGGGCCAGAGGGUCUUUUCAAGGCAGCCCCAGCUCGCGGAGCGGCGCACGACCGACGCAAUUGUUUUUCCCGCCCGGAGGACGCCGCAACCGGUCGGAGAGAGAGGGCGGUCAGGAGGACGGCGAUGGGCAGGGGGCCGGCUGGCUUAUCGGUGCAUACCGAUCCCGGCCGGUCGUUGGCCCGGUCCGUCCGAAGACGCGCCCCCCGACCGUGGUGACGCAAAGCCCCAACGAUUGGGCAUCGAACGCCUCCUUCGCUUAGGCGAUAUGCGGAUGGGAUGAGGACGGGAGUGGCGCGAGUCGUCCCGGAACUGACAAACCGCCGGCGCACCGACGAAAGUUCGGUGGCCGUUGCGGGUCCGGGUCUCCGCCGGUCCGAGCGAAUUCCGCAGCCCGAGUGGAUCGGACCAAGGAGUCUAACAUGUGUGCGAGUCAAUGGGUGUCGAAAAACCCCAAAGGCGAAACGAAAGCGAACAUGCCCAAGCCCGGGACGCAGCCGAGAUCCCCCGUCCAAAGUGGCGGGGGCGCACCGGCGGCCCGCCGCAGUCGACUCGUCGUCGCGGCGGAGCCAGAGCAUACACGUUGGGACCCGAAAGAUGGUGAACUAUGCCCGGGCAGGACGAGGCCGGAGGAAACUCCGGUGGAGGUCCGCAGCGGUUCUGACGUGCAAAUCGAUCGUCGGACCCAGGUAUAGGGGCGAAAGACCAAUCGAACCAUCCUGGUUCCCUCCGAAGUUUCCCACAGGAUAGCUGGCGCUCGGAUAGACUCAGUCUCAUCCGUUCAAGCGAAUGAUUAGAGGCCUUGGGGCCGAAACGACCUCAACCUAUUCUCAAACUAUAAAUGGGUGAGAAGCCCGCCUUUCCUGGAUCGCGAAGGCCGGAGCUCUCGGAUGUGAGUGCCAAGUGGGCCACUUUUGGUAAGCAGAACUGGCGCUGUGGGAUGAACCAAACGACGGGUUAAGGCGUCCGAUGCGAGACGCUCAUGAGACCCCAUGAAAGGUGUCGUUUGCUCUAGACAGUCGGGCUGUGGUCACGGAAGUCGAAAUCAGCUAAGGAGUGUGUAACAACUCACCGACCGAAGCAAGCAGCCCUGAAAAUGGAUGACGCUCCAGCGUCGAGCCUAUACCCGUCCGCCGUGCGGCAAAACUCCUCUUGAGUUAGGGGGAGAUUGAUGCCACGGUGAGUAGGAGGGUCGCGUCGGCGAGCGUCGAAGGGAUCGGGCGCGAGCCCGCCUGGAGCCGCCGACGGUGCAGAUCUUGGUUGUAGUAGCAAAUACUCAAGUGAGAACCUUGAGGACUGAAGCUGGAGAAGGGUUCCAUGUGAACAGCAGUUGAACAUGGGUCAGUCGGCCCUAAGGAAUCGGAGAAAUCCGUUCUGAAGCGGGACUUUAAAGUGACAAGGUCCCGCUGCCGACCGAAAGGGAAUGGGGUUAAUAUUCCCCAACCCGGACACGGAGAUAGAGCCCUCGGGCUCAAGUGCGGCAACGCAACCGAACUCGGAGACGGCGACGGAGGACCCGGGGAAGAGUUAUCUUUUCUUUGUAAGAGUUCGUGUCCCUGGAAUCGGAUCAUCCGGAGAUAGGGACGCUGUCCUCGUAAAAGCUCCGCGGCUCUUGCGGAGUCCGGUGCGCUUCUGUCGCCCCUUGCAAAUCCGAGGGAGAGAGUGUUAUUUUCGUGCCGGUCCGUACCCAUAUCCGCAGCA